ACGACUCUCGGCAACGGAUAUCUCGGCUCACGCAUCGAUGAAGAACGUAGCAAAAUGCGAUACUUGGUGUGAAUUGCAGAAUCCCGUGAACCAUCGAGUUUUUGAACGCAAGUUGCGCCCGAAGCCUUUUGGCCGAGGGCACG
rnacentral:rRNA from 1 species